rnacentral:misc_RNA from 1 species
GGUGAAUCUGGGUCUCCAUAUCAGUUUCAACAUACAUCCUAGGGUACGGCAUAGAAGGUGCAACUGGUCUUCCAUUCCCAGCCACACGUCCCCCUCUAGGGAUUCGGCUUUGAUGUGAUGGGGGAAGAUCAUCAUCAGUUCCACUGCUAUCAUAAGGCGGGCUCGUAGUCCAUAGCCAGCUUGACGCCCAAAAUAGUACACCUUUAGCUCAAGAAACGAACCACCAAGAACCCUAAAAUUUAGAAGCCAAUCUUGAAUCUAUCACCCAAAUAAUGUUGAAAAGAAAGGAGUUUUGGAAGCUCUAAAUAAUCAGCUGAACCAAAAUACGUUGUCGUUUCCGCUCACCUCGUCACGAAUCGGUGAAAGUGUUUCGAGAGAGGGAAAAGAAAAC